CUACCAACUUUAGUAUUCUGUAACUGUAGACGUUUGUGGGGCCCUGAACAAAGCCUAUAUCUGUCAAGUUGCUUGCUGUAGAGGAACUCUUCUCCUUUUAAAAAAAAAAAAAAAAAAAUCAACUACUUGUUCUACAAAAUCACGAACUACAUCCAAUUAAUUCCCAAUUGAAAAUCAAAAAAUCUGAAAAUUGAAAUCCUUUAAAUCAAACCUUAAAAUCGUCAUACGCAGGUAAUUGGAAGGCGAAGUACUGAAAUUUGAAGGUAAUUGAAGCACGAAUCAGCGUAAUAUGGCUUUCACUAGGCCUUCGAGUGGGUGGAUGAAGAAGAUGAGAGUGUAUGGCAGAAGGAUAUUAACAAACCAACUUCUUUUGGACAAGAAACUAAUGAAGGGUGAAAUAAGCUCAUUGCAGAGAGAAGUGGAGGACCUUAUUGGCAAAAGAAGGUGUCUCUUGAAUGAAAAUGAUAAUCUGAAACUCAAAUGCAAAGCUUGAGUUCUGACAGGAAGAAAAACAAGACUGCAGGUCAACAAAUUCAUCCUGUUGGAGUGAAAUUCAUAGUUAUCAUAUUUGAUUUGGUUUUUUUUUUUUUUUUUUUUUUUUUUUUUUUUUUUUUUUUUUUGAAAUAAGCUCUUAGGGAUUUUUGUAAUCCAUAACAAAGUUUAGGCUAGUAGUUAACAUUAGCUUUAUGAUGAUGUUAUCUUUCAGUUGCAAUUGUAAGACUUUGAUUAAUGAAUGAAUGAAAUUUCAAGCAUAUGAUUAAUA